GCUCGAUUAACUCAGUUGGAUAGAGUGCUGGCCUCCUAAGCCGGAUGCGCAGGUUCGACUCCUGCAUCGAGCG
rnacentral:tRNA from 1 species